UCCGUAGGUGAACCUGCGGAAGGAUCAUUAAAGAGUAAGGGUGCUCAGCGCCCGACCUCCAACCCUUUGUUGUUAAAGCUACCUUGUUGCUUUGGCGGGACCGCUCGGUCUCGAGCCGCUGGGGAUUCGUCCCAGGCGAGCGCCCGCCAGAGUUAAACCAAACUCUUGUUAUUUAACCGGUCGUCUGAGUUAAAAUUUUGAAUAAAUCAAAACUUCCAACAACGGAUCUCUUGGUUCUCGCAUCGAUGAAGAACGCAGCGAAAUGCGAUAAGUAAUGUGAAUUGCAGAAUUCAGUGAAUCAUCGAAUCUUUGAACGCACAUUGCGCCCCUUGGUAUUCCGAGGGGCAUGCCUGUUCGAGCGUCAUUACACCACUCAAGCUAUGCUUGGUAUUGGGUGCCGUCCUUAGUUGGGCGCGCCUCAAAGACCUCGGCGAGGCCUCACCGGCUUUAGGCGUUGUAGAAUUUAUUCGAACGUCUGUCAAAGGAGAGGACUUCUGCCGACUGAAACCUUUUAUUUUUCUAGGUUGACCUCGGAUCAGGUAGGGAUACCCGCUGAACUUAAGCAUAUCAAUAAGCGGAGGA
rnacentral:rRNA from 1 species